AGCCGCGGUAAUACCUGCAGCCCAAGUGGUGGUCGAUUUUAUUGAGUCUAAAACGUUCGUAGCCGGUUCGAUAAAUCUUUGGGUAAAUCGGGGGGCUUAACCUUCCGACUUCCGAGGAGACUGUCGAACUUGGGACCGGGAGAGGCUAGAGGUACUUCUGGGGUAGGGGUAAAAUCCUGUAAUCCUAGAAGGACCACCGGUGGCGAAGGCGUCUAGCUAGAACGGAUCCGACGGUGAGGGACGAAGCCCUGGGUCGCAAACGGGAUUAGAUACCCCGGUAGUCCAGGGUGUAAACGCUGCAGACUUGGUGUUGGAGGCCCUUUGGGGGCAUUCAGUGCCGGAGAGAAGUUGUUAAGUCUGCUACUUGGGGAGUACGUCCGCAAGGAUGAAACUUAAAGGAAUUGGCGGGGGAGCACCGCAACGGGAGGAGCGUGCGGUUUAAUUGGAUUCAACACCGUAAAACUCACCAGGGAAGACUGUUACAUGAAGGCCGAGCUAAAGACUCUGCUAGAUUUUCA
rnacentral:rRNA from 1 species